rnacentral:rRNA from 1 species
GCGCGAAAACUUUGCAAUGCGGGAAACCGUGACAAGGGAACUCUGAGUGCCCGUUAAAUCGGGCUGUCCAUCGGUUUAAAUAACCGGUGAAGAAAGGGCCGGGCAAGACCGGUGCCAGCCGCCGCGGUAAUACCGGCGGCUCGAGUGGUGGCCACUAUUACUGGGCUUAAAGCGUUCGUAGCUGGUUUGUUAAGUCUCUGGGGAAAUCUUCCGGCUUAACCGGAAGGCGUUUCAGGGAUACUGGCAGACUAGGGACCGGGAGAGGUGAGAGGUACUCCAGGGGUAGGAGUGAAAUCCUGUAAUCCUUGGGGGACCACCUGUGGCGAAGGCGUCUCACCGAGAACGGCUCCGACAGUGAGGGACGAAAGCUGGGGGAGCAAACCGGAUUAGAAACCCGAG